CUGUUUUUUCGAACACUUGAGAUGGUUGUAAAUUUUUUUAAAAUACAACGCAUACACAUCCCAAUUGAUACUGACAGAUGGUUAGCAGAGCCAAAGCUUGAGCUUGCAUACAUUUCAACUGCCCAUAGAAAGAUCAUACCCGAUGAAAAUCACACCUGCGGUUAAUAGAUUUGGCGGAUGUAUCUGGACAAAUAGAGGUUGAAAGGAUCACUAAAUCAAUCAUCAUCAUCGCUAUCAUAUUGUUGACACAACGAGAGCAGACCACUGCUUGUCGCAGCAUCAGUGCUCUGCGAGUCUUGCUUGUUUACUUCUACUGUCUGCUUGCUGUUGGAGUGUAAGACUGGCUUCUUCACUAUGGAUAUUUUGACUGAUGAGGACUUCAAAAUGAUUUUACUAUCACCUAUCGAUGCUUUAUCUUUGUUUUUAGAGAUGUCAUUAAUGCUGGCUUUCGUCAAAAAGUCUGUGGGCUUUUCAUCAGGUUCCUCAGAAAACAACUCUCUAAAGAAGAGAAAGGUUUCGGAGGAACCUGAUGAAAA
rnacentral:misc_RNA from 1 species